rnacentral:rRNA from 1 species
UGCAGUCGAACGGAAAGGCCCUUCGGGGUGCUCGAGUGGCGAACGGGUGAGUAACACGUGGGUGAUCUGCCCUGCACUUUGGGAUAAGCCUGGGAAACUGGGUCUAAUACCGAAUAGGACUCCGGCCUUCAUGGGUUGGGGUGGAAAGCUUUUGCGGUGUGGGAUGGGCCCGCGGCCUAUCAGCUUGUUGGUGGGGUAAUGGCCUACCAAGGCGACGACGGGUAGCCGGCCUGAGAGGGUGACCGGCCACACUGGGACUGAGAUACGGCCCAGACUCCUACGGGAGGCAGCAGUGGGGAAUAUUGCACAAUGGGCGCAAGCCUGAUGCAGCGACGCCGCGUGAGGGAUGACGGCCUUCGGGUUGUAAACCUCUUUCAGCACAGACGAAGCGCAAGUGACGGUAUGUGCAGAAGAAGGACCGGCCAACUACGUGCCAGCAGCCGCGGUAAUACGUAGGGUCCGAGCGUUGUCCGGAAUUACUGGGCGUAAAGAGCUCGUAGGUGGUUUGUCGCGUUGUUCGUGAAAACUCACAGCUUAACUGUGGGCGUGCGGGCGAUACGGGCAGACUGGAGUACUGCAGGGGAGACUGGAAUUCCUGGUGUAGCGGUGGAAUGCGCAGAUAUCAGGAGGAACACCGGUGGCGAAGGCGGGUCUCUGGGCAGUAACUGACGCUGAGGAGCGAAAGCGUGGGGAGCGAACAGGAUUAGAUACCCUGGUAGUCCACGCCGUAAACGGUGGGUACUAGGUGUGGGUUUCCUUCCUUGGGAUCCGUGCCGUAGCUAACGCAUUAAGUACCCCCGCCUGGGGGAGUACGGCCGCAAGGGCUAAAACUCAAGGAAAAUUGAACGGG